rnacentral:rRNA from 1 species
AUACAGAGGGUGCGAGCGUUAAUCGGAUUUACUGGGCGUAAAGCGUGCGUAGGCGGCUUUUUAAGUCGGAUGUGAAAUCCCUGAGCUUAACCUAGGAAUUGCAUUCGAUACUGGGAAGCUAGAGUAUGGGAGAGGAUGGUAGAAUUCCAGGUGUAGCGGUGAAAUGCGUAGAGAUCUGGAGGAAUACCGAUGGCGAAGGCAGCCAUCUGGCCUAAUACUGACGCUGAGGUACGAAAGCAUGGGGAGCAAACAGGAUUAGAUACCCCAGUAGUCC